AUUCUGAUUAUGCAUAUCUCGUUUCUGUAUAUAGGCCAGACGUCCAACCCUUCGUCUCCGUCUGUCCACCGUCAGACGGCAGCAACACAACCGUACUGUGACCGUCUGUUUCUAUGACAACCGGAGCUGUAACCUUCAACACACUCUCCGCCUGUCUCUCUCUCUGCCUGUCUCUCUCUCUACCUCUGUCUCUCUGUCUGUUUCUCUGGUGCCAUUCUCAGACAACACCCGGUCCUUAAGGCGACUGCACCACCGCGGGAAACAGUCGAAUCACCAGGGCUUUAAGGUGGAACGUUGAAGGAACGUUUGGGUUGUUCUGAUCGUCUCAAUGCAGCGCUCACAUGCCGACAUGUUCAAGAACGGAAGUCAAACCCAGGACUGACUAAUAUGUUCUAAUUGGACAUCAUUAUAUAGAACAGAAGUCUCUGCCAUUGUGCUCCUUUACUAACUAAACUCCCACAAUGCUCUCUGCUUGCCAAUAUGAACUUCCUGUCGUCUAAUUGAUGCCUCCUCUGGUUUCUACAGGAUUAAACAGGAAGAGGCUCCACCUGGUGGAACAGCCAGGUACUACAGCUAAAGAAAAUACUGUUCAAAAUGACUCCAAACUUUCCUACCUAACUGGGACAUCCCAACUUUACAUAUUUUAACCCUUUUAGCCAAAUAUUUGCCUAAAAAUCACCCCAAAUUUAUUUCGUAUCACAAUUAUGAUUCUAAAAUGGACAACCUUAAAUUCUGCUGAUCAAACACUCAGAGUACAGAUGCAAAUUUAAAAAGUUUUUCUACUCAACAGUUUAAUUAAUGAAUUAUACAAAUGUGGAUCAGUCGAUGUUUAUCACUCAGCUGAGGAAGCCAGUUGGAACUACCAGUCAUUAAAAUGUCUCAGUUGGUUCAAGAAUCUUUGUCCCAGUUGACUACGAAUAUUCUUUGCUACCUGAGUUCUGAUUGGAGGUCAUUAACCACCACAAGAGUUAUUGUCAUGGUGCUCGUUGCUAGCUAAACUCCCACACGGCAGUUUAAGGCAUGUUUACACUUUUGGAUACAUUUAAAAUUAGUAUCUAAAAACACCAACAGUAAACCAGAUUCUGGUUCUGAUCCGGUCUUUGGGUUCUGUUUGAGAACAUCCUGGGGUCAGGAACCCAAAUAUGCUGCCUGGAGAAUGUGAGAACACCACGUCCAGAAACAGAGCAAUAUCCAAAUUGACUUCUUUCCAUUAUUGGUGCUGUGAGAACUGAAUUAAGACGGACUUGAUCAAACUGAACAUCUCCAACACACACUGACGGCAUCUUCAAGCGUCACGUCAGACGUUCAUCAGUCGGAUGUAGAACAUUUACUGAACUAUUUAUGGGUUUUGGGAACAGCGUUUGGAAGCAGAAGUGUUUGAUUGUUGGACACCAGAUAUCUGGAACUCAUGUUGACAUUUUAACUCCUAAAACAUGUGGAUUGAGAUCAAAGACGCUGGAUUUUGGUUGGACGCUAAACAUUUAUUUUACAUUUCCUUUAAACUUUUACAGGAUAUUUUGUCGUAUUUUCUGCAGUUUGGUUCUGAUAGAAAUCAAACAUCUUCAGGAACUAAAAAGAAGCUCAGUUUAGGAUCAAUAAAGUCAUAACUUACUAAGACUUCCUUUCCAAGACCAUAAAUGCCUCAAUUUUCCAUGAAAUAAACCAAAAAUAUGGUGACGGAUAACACAAAAUCAACCAACAACAAGCCUCUUUCAACUCAAACGUUAUUUUCAGAGACGUGGUCGAUGCCGGAGGUGUGUGUUGCAUUUACUGUGGUACGAUGUUGCAUUCACGUCGCGUUGAUCUGUUGGAAUUACCAACGUCCGACUAGUAAAAAGUCCCCAACCUUCAUUGGAGAUGUUUAAAUUCCAAGGUUACGUGAACGCAGCAUUAAAGAACCCAAACUGAAACCAGAUGCCGCCUUGUUCCCUGUUUCAGGAACGGAAGAUCCUUUUAUUCAACAAGUCCAAGAAAAGGUAUUUAAAAGACACGAGCCACUUGUGAACUCGGAGUGCACCUGGAGGGUUUAGGGUGCAUGGUGGGGUGGAAGGUAGUGCACUAUGAAGGGUGAAAGGAAGGAAACAAGUGCACUGUGGAAUGUUUUCCUUACAGGUGGCUCACUGUGAAGAGUUUAAAUGUAAAAUAUAGUGCACAUUAAAGGUUCAGGAUGGAACCCUUAGACCACUGAGUUACCCUUAGGAACCCUUAGACCUCUGAGGUACCCUUAGGAACCUUUAGAUCUCUGAGGCACCCUUAGGAACCCUUAGACCUCUGAGGUACCCUUAGGAACCCUUAUUGGUCUAUUCUACACCCUAAACCCUGCUAGUGUGGUCUAUUCCACCACUUAGGGCUCCUUAGACCGAUAAAGGUUCCUACAGCAGGAAGUGGAAGAACCACGGUGGUGUUGGGUAAUUUAGGGUGAAGAGUAGACCACAAAGGAUUCCUAAGGGUUCCUUCGACCAUUAAGGUUUCAUAUGGCAGGAACUGGAAGAACCUCUGUGGUGUUGGGUGGUUUAGGGUGAAGAAUAGACCACUAAGGGUGCCUACAGUUGAAGAACCUUGGUGGCGUUGGGUAGUUUACGGUGAUUUUAAGUGUUCCUACAGCAGGAAGUGGAGGAACCAUGGUGGUGUUGGGUCGUUUAGGGUGAAGAAUAGACCAAUAAGGGUUCCUACAGUUGAAGAACCUUGGUGGUUUAGGUUGGUUUUAAGGGUUCCUACAACAGGAAGUGGAGGAACCAUGGUGGUGUUGGGUGGUGCGGGGGGUGUAGGGUGCUGUUUGAGACCAAGCCUUGUUGCUGAUGGGCGAACUCAACUAACCAAUCAAACAGUGUUAUUUGUACAGAACUAACAGCUGCUAACUGACUGCUAACAGCUCUCUGUCGUUGUUUGUAAUAAACUUCAUUUUUCAUCCAAAACCACCAACCGUGUGGCAUCUGUUGGCCAAAAGUCGUGAGAAUUACCCAAGAAAAGACACAAAACCACGAGACAGAUCAACAAAACGGGAUACAAAGAUUAAAAACAGAUUUUCUACUGGGUUGAAUUAAAAAUCUGUUCUACUUGGAUCCAGUAUCUUAGUUUUUGUGCUCAAUCAGUUAUAGAAGUUCAAUGAAAACAGCUUUUUAAAAACUUUUUUACUUACCAGGUUUUCUGUUACUAUGAACUGAAAAAUAGAACUUUAAAUGAUGACUUCAUUUUUUUCAUAAUUUUACAUUCACCAAUAAUCAGAGAUUAUCUGAUCUGUUUGUCC
ensembl:lncRNA